GCUACGCAGCAGGUCCAGCAGGAACUGGUACAAACGAAUCUUCUUCUUGCUGCCUGUGGGAGAUGGGCAAGCAAGUAGAGUGUGGACAGGAUGCAAGGACUUUGCAGGGACCCUCCCUGCAGCUCCUCCCGGCCACGGCAUCCACCAUGCAGAAGGCCUCAGUGCUUGACAGGAUGACUGCUGCUAACUUACAACCUACCAGGCAACUCGCUAAGAAUGCAGCCCACUUCUCUCUGCUCUGAGGAGACAGACGCUGGCGUGGACUCUUCCUUUUGACAGUGAAGGAAGCUGUGACUCUAACCAAGCACUUGGGAGGCAGAGGCAGGAGGAUCUCUGCGGGUUUGAGGCCAGUUUGGUCUACAUAGCAAGUUCCAGGGAUGCAUAGAGAGAGAACCUAUCUCAAAAUUUAAAAACAAAAGUCCAGUCCUUUGUCUACAGCGGCCCCCAGUCGUGUAGUGUCAUGUCCAAGCCCACUUCUGUGUAAUUCCAGGGACCUUUAUUGUGCUUUAACUCUUACUAUGCCAUGCCAGCUCUCAGGAUCUAGGCUACUGCUGUUAAGUAAUGUAAGCUUUAAGUAAGACCUAUGGUGACCCUGAGAGCCUCUCCUGAUGCUCCCGUCCAUCUGUCUGUACACACCCAUCCAUCCAACCAUUAUCCACCUAUCUAGCUACCCAUCACCUAACCUCCGUUUACCUAUCAGUCAUUUGUAACUCACUCAGCCACCCAGCCAAAUAAGAGCCCAUCUGUGACAUGGUCUUAAUAGGUUGGUCUCAUGUGCUGAGAUCACAAGUGGAAAACACUACAACUGCCAAUCCUUUUGUCUUGAUCUUUUUUUGUUCCCACCCACUCAUCUGUGUUCUUACUUCGUUGUAAGAAGGACAAGAAACAAGGCGAUAUUAAGAUUAAAAACACCAAGCCUUAAGAGUCACUCAGCUGACCUUAUCUCCUCAGCACAGAAAACCCAGCUGAAGGCCAGGGCUAUCCUCAGUAGAGCCAGAGUAUUCUCAAAUCAGAAGAUCAGGGGCUGCAGAGACGGCUCAUUGGUUAAGAGCACUGACUCUCCCAAAGGAUCUGAUUCAGUUCCCAGAGCCAUGUCAGGCAGCUCAGAACAACUCGAGUUCCAGGGGAUCUGACACCUCUGCCCUCUGAGGACACUAGCACACACGUGAACACACACACACACACACACACACACAGACACACACACACACACACAAUCAGACACAUACACCUACACACAAUUUAAAACAAUAAAAACACAUCUUUGCAGAAGAACAUCAAAUCCGGCAUGAGCUGUGUAGGGAGUUCAAGGCUAGCAUGAGUUGUGAAGCCCUGUCUCAACAGAACAGAACAGAACAAACAAACCAGAGAAGAUAAGGAAUCCAGAAAGGAGGGAACAAAAAAAAAUCCUUUUUAGGAAAUUACUACCACUGCAGAACAGCCUCUCCCCAGAAGCCUGAAAGCAUGUUGCCAAGGGCUGGAGAGCAGGGAGCUUCAUGGUACUUGUUUCUCUCAACUACGAUCCUGAUUGUCGGAGUUUUAAUUCUUCCCCUGACAAGACUUGAUUUGAAUGUACCAGUAUCCUAUUCACCACAUCAGCCCCGUGCCUGGCACAGAAAGGACCCCUGGUGUAUCUAUGAGGCGGAGAGUUGAAUGUGCAGUGGACAGAGGUUUGAUGGGUGGAGGGAAGGACAGUCGCUAAGCAGGCUGAGUGGCUGGUCACACAGAUGUGUGAGUAAACUCCAGCCCUAGGACUGCUGAUUCCUAAAAGCCAACAGUAACAGCCGGCAGUGAUAAGUGUUGCUAAAAACAUGAAGACUUGUGCGAUGUUGUUGGGCUUAUAAAGCAGCUGCCGUUAUGAAGAGUAGCAUAUCAGCACCCAAGAAAAAGAGGGGCUGAGGAGGUGGCCCAGUGACUGGGAGUGCUCAGUGCUCUUCCAAAGGACCUGAGUCCCCUUCCUAGCAGCACCCACACGGGGCAGCUCAUAACUGCCAGUAACUCCAGCUCCAGGAUACUUGAUGCCUCUGACUUCCAUGGGCACCUGCAUUCAUGCACAUAUAUCCAAACAUGCGUGUGUUCAUGCGUGUGUUCGUGCGUGUGUGUACACACACAUGUGUGCGCACACACACACAUACACACACACACACACACACACACACACACACACACCUAAAAAUAAUAAAACCACCUGGUGUGGUACUGCACAACUUUGAUCGCAGCAUUGGGGAAGCAGAGGCAGGUGGAUCUCUGUGAGUUUGGGCCUAACCAGGUCUACGUAGUGAGUUCCAAGCCAGCCAAGACUACAAAGUGAGAUCCUGUCUCAAAAGUAAACUUUAAAAUAAACACACACACACACUAAAGAAAGGAGUACCACAGGACCCAGCAAGUUCAACAAGUUCAUUUGUGAAUGUACAUCUAAGUAAGUAUGAGUCAGUGUCCUAAUGGGACUGUAUAAACCCACGGCCAUGGUCACAGCAGCUUUAUUCACUACAUCCAUUAACACAUGAGCCAAUUAGCAAAAUGUAGUGGUCCAGGUCAUGAGCAUAGCUCAAAAUGUAUUCAUAUAGUGAAAUGUUAUUCAAUCUGUAAACGGGGAGAAAUUCUGGCAUGUGCUACAUGGGUGAAUCUUGAGAUAUUCUGUUAUGGGAAACGAGCCGGUUAUAACAGGAAAAUUGCAGUAUGACUUCACUUACCAAAGGCACCUAACGUAAUAAAAUUCAUAGAGACAGAAAGUAGAGCCAGGCGGUGUUGACGCACACCUUUGAUCUCAGCACUGGGGAGGCAGAGGUAGAGGGAUCUCUGAGUUCAAGGCCGGCCUGGUCUACAGAGCAAGUUCUAGGACAGCCAGGGAGAGUUCCAGGACAGCCAGGGAUACACACAGAGAAACCCUGUCUCAAAACAAAAACAAAAAUCAAAACAAAACAAAAGAGAAGGAAGGAGGGAGGAGAGAGGGAGAGAGGGAGGGAGGGAGGAAGGAAGGAGGAAGGAAGGAGGGAAGGAAGGAAGGAGGGAAGGAAGGAGGGAAGGAAGGAAGAAGGAUGUAGGUUGCCAAGGGCUGCCAGGUUGGAGGAUGGGCACGGGGUCUCAGCUUGGCAAGAUGAGUUCUCGAGACAAUGGUGCGUGAAUUUUUGUUUUGUUUUGUUUUGUUUGAGACAGGGCCAAGUAACCCAUAGCCCUGAACUCACUUAGACACUGACCUUGAGCUCCUGAUCCCCUAUCUUUGGUGUCCUGAGUGCUACAAUUACAGUCACGAACCACCGUGCUCACAUGCCCAGCGUUUGUGAAUGUAUUUUACUACCCCUUAUGCCCUUGGAUAAUUUAGGUGGGUAGCCUGACAGUGGCAUUUGCCACCAAGCAUGACAACCUGACUUUGAUUCCUCAGAACCAUGUGAUGGAAGGAGAGAACUCACUAUGAUCUCCAUGCCUGUGCUGACACAUGCAUAACUACACAUAGAUAGAUAGAUGAUAGAUAGAUAGAUAGAUAGAUAGAUAGAUAGAUAGAUAGAUAGAUGAUAGAUAGAUAGAUGAUAUAUGGAUAGGUAAAUGAAAGAUAGGUAGAUAGAUGGAUAUAUAGAUAAUAGAUGGAUAGAUAGAUAUAAAAAAUUUUAAGAUUAGGAUGGUAAAUUUUUUUUUCUUUUUUCUGUUUUUCGGAGCUGGGGACCGAACCCAGGGCCUUGCGCUCGCUAGGCAAGCGUUCUACCGCUGAGCUAAAUCCCCAACCCCCAGGAUGGUAAAUUUUAUACGAUAUGUAUAUUUGUGAUACCUUCAAAACCUCCCCUAACUAUGUCUAACCUGUUAAUUUGUUUGUUUGGUUUGGUUUUUGGUGUGUAUGUUUGUGUAUAUGUAGAUGUUCAGCAGAGUGUGUGCACAUGCAGAAACCAGAAGAGGACUUCAAGUAUCUUUCUCUUUUACACUCCACCUUUUUCUUUUCUUUAAAGCAGAGUCUCUCUUUGGACUUGGUGGUGCACACUUUUAAUUUCAACACUUGAGAGGGGGCAGGCAGAUCUCUGUGAGUGCAAGGCCAGCCUGGCCUACAUAUUGAGUUCAAGGCCAGCCAAGGCUACAUAGUGAAACUCUAUCUCAGAAGAAGGAGUAGGAGAAAGGGAAAGAAACUGAACCAGACGCUCUCCCAUUUUGACUCGUCUGGCUAGGAAGCUCUCAGGAUCCGCCCUAACUGCCAGAGUCACAGUGGUAUAGUUGGUAGCUAUGCCUGGCUUCUUCUGUAGGUGCUGGGGGCUACAACUCAGGUCCUUAUGCUCAUGUAGCAAGCAGUCCUACCCACUGAGCCUUCUCCCCAUCUCCCCAUCUUUGUGCCCACUCUGCUUCCUUUCUAUUGUUGCUACUCUCAUCUGAGCCUCCAUUGUGUCUUGAGUUAGGAGAGCACUACAGUGAUGCCCUUUUUUCUAAGUGCUCUUCGCCUAGAUCCUGUCCUGUCUCUUGCAUGUCUGUUCUCUACCUAGCAGCCAGCGGGACAUUUAAAACUGGUCCAAUUCUACCUCUUAGGCUGUGGCGGGGGGCGGGGGAUAACUUGUUUGAGGUUAGCCUGAGUAUAUGAUGAGAUCCAAGAAAAAGAGACAAGGACAAAGAGACAGAUAGACAAAGGAAGGAGGAGGAGAGAGGCAAGGAGAAAUGGAUGAAAAGGAAAAAGAACCUUCCAGAAGGACAAAACUGAAAAAAAAAUCUAGAUUAUAAAAAGGAGAACAAACACAUGGAAUGGUGCCAGAUGUCGUAAAACAAACAAAGAACAACAAAACCCUGUAAUAGCCAUAAGACAGUAGGGAAAUGCUUUCAAAUUUAUAAUGGACACAAGGGUUUUUUUUUCACUGUGAAAUGUGACACAACCAAACUGCUGCUCACAGGUGAGAGCACAGAAUAGACAGGAAGAGAGAAACUCCACACAGCACAGCCGUACUUCACCUCCUGGGUAGCCACUCUGGAGUUCCUGACACGUCUACUAUAAGCUCCUCCUGGGCUCUCUGCAUACAGUGGCUCACUCUGUCCUUAUAAUAAGUCUGCAAGUGGGUGUCAUCACGGAAAAGUUAAGACACCCCUCACAGCAGUCUGGGCUCUUACGCCUCACAACAGUGUUACUGAGAAGCACAUGGGAAAGGUAGACUAGGCAUCCAAAGGACACACUAAGGCUCAGCAGAGCUGUGCCCUGGUCACAUGAUCAUAACAAGGGGCAGGUCUCUUCAGAUGUGUUACCAUAUAACCAUGGGAAGCCUGCAGAGAUGUGAGCUGUUGUGUUGUGAAUGGCUGCUGUCAAACGUUCCUCCACACAGCCUACAUGCACAUACAUAUCUCAAUCUGGAAGACUGAGCUGACUCAUCUCUGCUCAACACCUAGAAGGCUCUCAGUAAAAACAGAUGUUUGUGGGGCUGGGGGGAUGGCUCAGUGGAUAAAGCACUGGGCAUCCAACCAUGAGCAUUCUAGUUCAGAUUCUAGAACCCAUGUUAAUUUUUAGUGUAAGUGGCAGCCCCCCCGCCCCUGUGACUCCAGGGCUCUGAAGGAAAAGACCAGUAUUCUCUAGAGCGAGCUGACCAGACAUACUAGUGGUGAAAAUACAUAAGGUGAUAGAGGUACCACAGAGUUCCUGCGGGUAUCAGCGUCACUGGGGAGGAGGGAGAGGAGAAGGCUUUGCUUGAGGUGCUGUAUGUCUUUCACUAUGGCAAUGAGAACUUGUUGUUUUAAGAUGUAUUUAAGAUUUUUAUUUUAUGUGUACAAAUGUUUUGACUGCAUGUAUGCCAUUGUACCAUGUGCACGUGUGGUAGUCAUGAGUUACAGACAGUUGUGAGCCACCAUAGAGGUGUUGGGAACCAUGCUUGAGUCCUCAGAAGAGCAACCAGUGUUCUUAUCUGCUGAACUCUCUCCAGCACCUGAGCACUUGUCAUUUAUAGUCUAAAAUUAAGCACUUAAAAUGUAUUUAAGGCUGACAAGAUGGCUCCCACAAGUUGUUCUCUUACUACACACACACACACACACACACACACACACACACACACAGAGAGAGAGAGAGAGAGAGAGAGAGAGAGAGAGAGAGAGAGAGAGAGAGAGAUGGGCAGUCGGACAGACUAACUGACUGACUGACUGACUAUAAAAACUAGAAAGUGUAUUUAAAUUUUCACCAAACAUAAGGCUAUUCAGAUCGUGUAAUUUCCCUAUCCAGUAAGAUUAAUUACAACUUAGUAACAGAAGACUUCCAGUCCUCUGUGGCCUUCAAACCGUUUUUGAUUGGCCCUUUGAUGGCCACUUUGGUUUCAUGUUGUUUGUGCUGUCUCCUGGUGAUCUGUAGCCAUGUGUCCUCUGCUGAGGGCUUCCUGCUCUUGUUUUUGCUGUUCCCUGUCCCCAUUCACCUCACAUGCAUGGUCCUUUCUCUUCACUCAGAUUUCAGCUUAGCCAUUACCCUCUCAAAGACUUCCCUCAACACUCAUGUGAUCAGGGCUUCCACACACUGAUGAGUAGAGGAGGAGAGGGGUAAAUUGAAUGGAGGAUGGGUGUGGGUAAGAUGGGUCGAUGAGAGAGUGAAUAGAUGAGUGGGUGGGUAGGUAGAAGGGUAAAUCCACGGACGGGUGGAUAGACGGGUAGAUGGGUGGAUGGGUGCCUGGGUGGAUGGGUAAGGGGAUGGAUAUGAAUGGAUAGAUUGAUGGGUGAGUGGAUGGAUGGAUGAGUGGGUGGGUGGGUGGAUGGAUAGAUUGAUGGGUGAGUGGAUGGAUGGAUGGUUGGUUGAUGGAUGGAUGAAUGGGUAGGUGGGUGGAUGAAUGGAUGGCUGUCACCCAGGUCAGUGACCCCUUUGGGGUUUGCAUAUCAGAUAUUUACAUUAGAAUUCAUAACAGUAGCAAAAUCACAGUUAAGAAGAAACAACAAGGGGUUGGGGAUUUAGCUCAGUGGUAGAGCGCUUGCCUAGGAAGCACAAGGCCCUGGGUUCGGUCCCCAGCUCUGAAAAAAAGAACCAAAAAAAAAAAAAAAAAGAAGAAGAAACAACAAAAAUAACUGUGUGUCACCACAACAUGAGGAAAUGUAUUAAAGGGUCAUAGUAUUAAGAACCACUGCCCUAGCUGCUUGGUUGGGUACAGCAAUGCUGACAUACUGAGCACUCACCCAGUCCUGUUCUGAGCAUGGUACACACAACCUCAGAGAGGACACAUCAUCAACCUACUGCAAUUCUGUGAAGUGCUUCCAUGUCUCAGGUUGACAGACGAGGGGGGCACUCAGAGAGGCUCUGUUGCUUGCCCCAAGGACACACAGCUGGAGAAGUCAGUAUUCCACUAAGCAUUGCUUUCUUAAGGUGUGGACACAAAGGACAGGAGGGAAUCAGUGGAGGAUGUGAAGGGCAAGAGACUCUUUUCUUGAGUCUUCUAAUAGAAUGUUCCAGUAGGGAUCGGGGACAGCACCGAUACUCAGAUGUCUAAUAGCGGCAGAGGUGGGGAAUGGACCGGAACACCCAGAGACCCUGGAGGAGUCUGAAGGAAUUCUGGGCUCAUGCCUUAAGCAGAGUGCCAUGAUUGACCAGGAGUCAUUGCUAUACCUCUGCCUGAGAUACAAAGAACCCACUUGGGACCUGAGCCAGGGAAACCCAGGCUUCCGUGAAGUGCUCACUCCAUCUUCCUAGCCACAUCCCCACAUCUGAUUUCAGGAUAUUUAGGCAACUACAUGAAGGCAAAACCGAGGUGGCAAAACUCUUGAAGGAAAUGCCAGUGACUCAAACAUGAGACUAGGCCAAAGAGAAAGCAACCCUGACAGAGAAAGAGGCUCCAAGCCCCGCUGUGCUUGCGUAACCUGUGCCACUAGAGGGAGCCCUCCUCAAGCCCAGCGGGAUUUCCGUCAGUCCUCCCACUGCUGCUGGAAGGGUGAAUGGAUAUGGGGUCAAUCGCUCAGACCUGGUUGUUAAUCUGGGUGAGGGGAAAUAAGGAAAACGUAGGAAGAGAUAACAUACGUUAUCUGAACUUCACCCAGGGACGGUGUAUUUCUUACACAAAAGAGGGCAUUUGGAAGCUUUUCUAGCACUGGCGGAUCUGAAAGAAGCCUGUGCCCUUGAGGUGGACCCUCCCGACAGGACACACUUCCAGGAAACUUAUGCUGAGUGCCAGGUGAAGGUGCUCUCAAGGUCUGGCUUCCAAAUAAAAAAGCCUUAACUGUGUGCCAUCCCCCCAUGACAGCCCUGGGUGUGGCCGUCAGCCAUGAGCUGUGGCACUGAGCAUUUCUCUGACCUUGAGUUUCCAGAUGCAGGCAUUGUGGAGAAUCCCCUCUCCCAGUCUGGAACAAGGUGGCUAUGCUUCAUGGUUCAUUUCAGGUGACCUGUUCCCUCCUCGCCAAGGUUCUGAUCACUAAGAGUCUCUUCCCUCUCCCCUUAACUAUCUAGAGGGCAAGGCUGGGUUUUGGGGUGGACAGUUGGGGCCAGACCUCUUCACUACCUCCAUUAGACUGGAGGAUUGGUGUCUGCUGAACAAGGGAUGUUCAGAGGCUUUCAGUGGACCCAGGGUCAUUCAACAAGGUGGAGUUGGGGGGCUGGAGAGAUGGCGGUCAUGAUUGGAGGCCUUCUGGCAUCUACUUAAAGAGAUUUUUUUAAAAAUUGCUAAGCCUUUUACCAACAGCAUUACCAAGCCCCAAAUCUCAGUAGUGGCACUAGUGAAAGGCAGUUAGCCACACAGUAAGGAAAGACUUACCAAAGUGGUUUUUGGAUAAAGGAGGAUAACAAAAGAGUGGAAGAGGUAGGACGAGUGGUCAGGAAUGAGCACAGGCACAGGACAGAUCACCUGGACCAGAAUUCACUUGCCUGGUCAAGCAUCCAGCUCCCUACCUGUCCUCACUUAUUAAAAAGUCCCUAAGCUACCCAGGUCUAAGUCAGGUGGGGUCCCAGUGCUGAGACAGAAAGUAGACAGAAGUCCUCAUCCCUACCUCAGAAGCUACUCACAAAGGAAAAUUUAGUUUUCUUCAGUGGAGUCUCGCUAAGUGUACAAACCACAUUUAAGGGCAGGUCACACGUAUUCCCUGGGUGGAGGACCAUGCCGAAUGCCAACACAAAUAACUCAAUGGUGUUUUUGGAGUUUUGUCUUGUUUUUGUUUUUGUCUCACAAUACCUUGGGCACUUUUUAAAAACAAACUUUAUGGUUUGGUUUUGAAUUUUCAUGGAACUUCUCUGUGUGUGUGUGAAUGUGUGUUUUAUCUGUUUUUCUCUCUCUCUCUCUCUCUCCUCUCUCUCUCUCUCUUUCUUUCUUUCUCACUCUGAGACAGGAUUUCUCUGUGUAUCCCAGGCUGUCCUGGAGCUCACUCUGUAUCCCAGGCUGUCCUGGAGCUCACUCUGUAGCCCAGGCUGACCUGGAGCUCACUCUGUAGCCCUGGCUGUCCUGGAGCUCGCUCUGUAGAUUAGGCUUAUAUGUGUUUCUUGCCCUUUUUCUUUGGCUCUUUUUUUUUCUGUUUAUUUUAUCCUAUUCUGGUUUGUUUUUGUUUUAUCUUGUUUUAUUUUUAAAUGCCUGUCUGUUUUCUAAUGAGAGAGAAAGAGAAGGUGUGGAUUUGGGUGGUGGAGAGAAUCUGAAGUGAGUUGGGGGAGGGGGAACCACAAUAAGAAUAUAUUGUAUGAAAAUAAAUCUCUUUUUUAGAAAGUCUCCAAGGGGGGUUGGGGAUUUAGCUCAGUGGUAGGGUGCUUGCCUAGCAAGCGCAAGGCCCUGGGUUCGGUCCCCAGCUCUGAAAAAAAAAAGAAAAAAAAAGUCUCCAAGGACCAGACAAGGUGAAUGAGAAAGAAACUAAAUUUGUCCCUGACACAGAAAGAGGCUCAAGGAUCAGAGAUCAGGCAGAUGUUGUGGGAUGCAGGGAUGACGUAGCUGCCUGCAUCUUACUCUCAGAAUUCCAAGUAGCUCAGGAGUCUUUUCCUCGCUCCAGCCCCAGGGCAUGCUGGGAUGAGGGGUGGAGGACCAUGUACUCACCGCUAUGGCUGUCUCCAUCACCACCAAUCAAGGAAUAGUAGUCAUGUGUUUGACGUUGGUAUAGUUCUGAUUCAUAAGUAACCAGCUCAUCCGAUGGCUGCUGAGAGAGAAAGGUGUCAGAGCCUGAGAUCUCAAAAAGACUCCAGUGAGGUUUUCAGCUAAGUUUGAGGUCUGUGACCUUCUUUGACUGGGGCACCCGGGGGCUGCCCAGCCUUUGCUCAGAAUCCAGAGUGCCCAGGGACACAGAGGGUAAGGUGGUGGUGGGAAGUUCAGGACAGUGUGCUAAGGCAGUGAUGAGGUAGAGAGGUCAGAGGUCAGCAGAAACAGGCUGAAAAAGGGGUGUGUGCAGCCCCUUCCUCUCUUCUCUUAGGAUCCACUGCAUCGGUCCACACACCCACGCCUGUGGGAGCCUGUUGCCCUCUCCCAUUCCCACCAACUGACCCUUCCCCCACAUGUACAAAUACUCCCUGUGACACACUUAUACCCAAACCCGUGGGACUCACUCUCACAUGUCCACCCGCUCACUCUUGGGUUCCUGUCUCUGUCUCACACACAGGCAUGCUCACCCUCUGUGAGCCCCACAAAUCUAUACAUCUACUCACACUCAUAGACACCCACUGUGGGUACAGACACACACACACACACACACACACACACACACACACACACACACGUGCGCACUCACAUCCCAGUCAUCAGUAAGGUUCACACAGCCUUUCAGAGACAACCACAUCCUACUCUCCAGUGCUACAUUGAACCCCUCUGCUACAGCCUGCCCCUGACUCCUCUCGCCCUGUUAGCCUCUGUCCAUCUAGCCCCAGGCAGGCACAGUCCUACACGAUGACUGUCAUGUUUGACGAUUUGUCUGUACGAAGGUCACCCAGGCAGGUUUUGGGGACCAAGAAACUAUUCCUUCUGCCUCUUCCCUGCCCUGUCCUUGAUGGGAGACUCCCUGCCACUGUUAAUCUCUCUUCCCUCCUCCUGUUCUCUCCUUCUGCCUUUCUUCCCUCCUUUCUCCACCUUCUCUCUCCCUCUCCCUCAGCCUCCUCCAUCUCCUCUCUCACUUGCUUGGGCACUGGGAUAUGCACGCCCAAGCCUUCCCAUCAGUCACUGGGCUUCUCCCCACCCCCACAGAAUGUGCCCAAGGAUUGCACAAUCGUUACUGUGGCCUUGCUUGGUGGCCCAUCCACUCAAGAGACACUUGGGAAGACUUUUGAGGCUGGAGAGAGGGGCUAAGGAGCUGGUAUAGGAGCUGGAGGUCUGCCCUGUGCCCAUAUCCGCAGGAAGAGAGGUCAAGGGUUGGGGACAGUGGCUUUAAUUGAGGCAGAGUGGACUUCUGGGACAACCUCCAUCACUUGUGCUUGCCCUAGCACCUUCUCUGUCCUAGGCGGGAGAAGGGGGUCAGGUUUGGCCUGCCUGUCUUCUAUCCUGUGAAGAGGUCAGGAGCUGCCUUGCUUCCCUGGGUUUCCAGGCAGCACAACAGGCCUGCCCCUAUUGCAGGUCAUUGGCUAUGAUGUCAGGCCUCAGGUGCUACCGAGGGCUUGAAGGCUGGGUGGGGUAGAAAAGAGAUCUGUCUCUACUUCAGGAAAGCUGAGUCAGGUGGGCAGGCCCUGCUCAGCCUUUCCUCGCUGCCCCAACACCUCCUAGGGUAGGAGAAAUCAAGAGGGUCCUCUCUAAGGGAUUCUGGGCUGCCAGUUGCCUAAAGCUGCAACUGUCACUGAAAACAGGAGGACCAGCAGGAUCUACCUACCUGCUUGUGGCCCUAUCCCUGCCCCACCUUAACUCCAGCCAGGUCCUCUUACUCCAGCCCCAAUCUCCGUCCCAUUCUGGACCCAGUCCAUCCGUCACCCAACUUCUUAUUGAGCUAAGUUCUAGCCACAAAUCUAAUUGCAGUGCUUCUGCUGUAUGCUACAGCCUGGCCCCAAGAAGACCGUCUUGGUCAUUGCCCCAGACUCUCAGGUCCAUGUAGGCCCAAAGCCCAAACACUUGGAUCAACAGCCAUUCUUCUACGCCGGGCCACAAAAAUGUUGGGGACCCAAGGGUGACUUAGAGUUCUAAUAGCCUUUGUCUCAGGAGCCCACAGGUCAUGAGCUGAAACCUCUCCUGUUGCCUCCAAAGGCUCCUCGGCCGGUCUCCAGAUCUCCUCAUCCAUGGCCUCUCCGUAGCCGCGCUCGCCACCUUCACCCCAGUACCCUGCCCUAGAGCUCGGCCUGCCACUGAACCCAUCUAUAAAUAGCUGUUCAGGCCCCACCGAUCACAGCCCCACCAUGGGGCCAGCCGGCAACCCUCAGCCCGCCAGGGCAUGCUCUAAGGAAGCCAAUGGCCCCUCGCUGGGUCUCAGACCAGCAGCUCCAGGGAGGAAACACCAACUUCCCACUGAUAGGGAGCCCCGGAGGGCAGCGGGUGGGCUGGUGGGUCAGUGGGCAGAUGGUCACACAUCCCAAGGCCCGAGGCUGGGCUGGUAGCGAAGCCCCAGUACUCACAGGGGCGACGAGGGGAAACCCUUCCAUUUUGCACGCCUGUAACAUCCAGCUGAGCUCCAGGUUGGUCAGAUCCCCUGCUUCGGUGGGGAUCAAUGCGGAUCCCCCUCAGGACCAGGUGCCCCGUCGGGGGGGCUGGACGGUCGUGGGUCAGACGCAGGGCUCAGGCCUGCCCCCUGAGCUACAGGAGCCCUGGGUGAGCCCCCUCCCUUGACAUUGCAGGGCCAGCACAAGUUCCUGAUUUUAUCGAAGGGCCUGCCACUGGGAGAUAGUCCCCUUGGGGUGACAUCACCGCCCCAGCCCGUUUGCAUAAAUCUCUUGCGCUACAGGAAGUCUCUGGCCGGCUGAGGCAGGUGGUUCUCAAAGGGCAGCCCUGGGAAGCCAGGGGGCCAGGCCCCCUGCCCAGAGGAAACUGGUGCUGGGAGGGAGAAAGUCUAGCACUACCACGGAAGGCUUCUACUGCUCUGGCCCGCUAGGCCUUGCUGAGGCUGUCCACUCUUCUUUUAGCCUAAUAAUGCCGAUUUCUUCUCAGACCCCUAUGGUGGCCAAGAGCCACCCCUUUGGGGGGAGUCAGAAUAGUGAUAGUGUGGGUUCCUAAUUUCUAAGGUGAAUUUGGCAGGUGGAGGACUUUGGUCCCAAGGCUGCCAGUCUUGGCUCUUUCUGUAGGCCCUGCAGUAUCAGCUAGAUGGCCCUAAACCGGUUAGGGCCGACAGUAGACAUUGGGUCUUGCAUAUUGUAUCUCUUUCUGGCCCCUCAAAUGGGCUUCCCUUCCAAUUGGUAAGGAUCAUGGCUUUUUAUACUAAGUACCACAGAUAGUGUUAGAUCCCUAAGGGCACCUCAGAUUUCCCAGUUUCUCCACCCCGUGAAUGUUACUAUGUAGACAUCCUAGUUUAUAAACCUUCCUGCACGUUUCUCCUUUCCUCUGUUCUCCUAUCCUUAUCUCUUUCUGAUUCUCUGCUCAUCACUCCUGCCGUCUCAGCAGUCAUCCCUCUACACAUCUAUCUGUUCAUCCAACUGCUCACCUCUCAACUGUCAGUCAAUUCAUCCCCUCACCCUUGUGUUUAGCGACAUGCUCCUACAGCCACCUGUCUGUCCAUCUGCUAACAGUUUAUAUUUUUAUUUCUUUAUCCACUAUAUAAUCUCCUGUCAAUCUGGUCAUCUGUCAAUCUGUCCAUCCACCCAUCCAUCCAUUAUUUAUCUAUGCAUACAUUCUUGCACCCACAGAUCCAUCUAUUCACUUAAUCUAUAUAUCUAUUCAUUCAUUAGUCUGCCUAUACCUAUCCAUCUCCCUGUCUACUCACCUACUUAUCCAUCUAACUCCUAAGCUACUUUUCCAUCCAUCCAUCCAUCCAUCUAUCCAUCAGUCUGUCUACCCAUCCACUCAUCCACCCACCCACUCAUGAAUUUAUAUACUAUCUAGCUAUCAUUUUUCCAUUCGCCACCUAUUAAUCAAACCUAUUUACAUAUUACAUAUCCAUCCAUCCAUCCAUCCAUCCAUCCAUCUGUCCAUCUGUUCAUAUAUACAUGCAUGCAUGCAUGUUUCUUCCCAAUGUUAACCAAGUUCUAUGCUGAGUUCUGGGGAAAAUGAAAAGGUCUCCUGCCCUGCAGUCUGGAGAGUAAAACAAUCGUCCUGUUCCUCCACACACACCUGUCCCCCUCUUCACACCUCUAGUGAGUUUACUCUGUUGAGAGAGGAUGCUUUUGUUUCGUUUCGUUUUUGUCUUUUUGAGACAGGGUUUCUCUGUGUAGCCUUGGCUGUCCUGGAACUCACUCUGUACCUGCCUUUGCCUCCCGAGUGCUGGGCUUAAAGGUGUGUGCCACCACCCCCUUGGCUAGGGAGGUCUUCUUGAUUAAUCAACUUCCUCCUGUGUAUACUUUAACCUCUUGCUAAAGGUUAAAGUAUAUGUAAAAUAUAUACAUAAAUGUAAAACUUGCCUGACCCUCCAUACACCCAGUAGUUUCUUACUGCCAACAAUGUCACCUCCACCUCCAUCCUCUUCUCUUGUAGACACACUUGGGAGUCCCCAGAGGGUCAGGCCCCUCCCUGAGAUGAGGGUAGAUACAAGCCUGCUCUAUACCAGCAGCUGUAGUUCCUCAUGCCUCCAUCAAACAGGCUCCAGGUGACUCUGUUACAGGGAAGAAUGGGCUGGGAUGUGAGAACCAGGCCCUGAUUGUUAUUUCAGUCAUUAAUUCCUUGCUUUGGAUUGUUUUAGUAAGGUCUCGCUUGUGGUAUCCCAGGCUAGCCUGCGACUUGCUGUGUAGACCGAGCUGUCAUCAGAUCGUAUUUACCCUCUCACAUUUACCUCGACAGAGCUGGAGUCCCAGGAGUGAGCCCAUGCCAAGCCCUAAAUUCUUCCCUCCUUCCUUUCUCCCUUCACUCCCUCCCUCACCCCACCUUGCUUUUGUUAGGAUCUCUAGCUCAGACUGUCCCUGCACUUUUUUAUGUAGCUGAGAAUGACUUUGAUCGUUUGAUCCCCCUGCCUCCACCUUCAAAGUAGCAAAGAUGUGGGCCGCCACAUCCAAUUGCUAGUUUAUGUGGUGCUGGUGAUUGAACUUGGGCCUCUCAUCCCCAGACCCUAGCUUGUUCUCUUUGUGAACAUGUUUAUCCAUUUCCUCAUCCCUCCAGCUACAAACAUUUCCCUUGGUGAUUUCUCUGUGCUGGACCUAAAGGUAGACAAACACGAAUGAGACCUGCACAGACCUCAGGAGUUCACAGGCCCGUAAGAGAGAUGUGCAGACAGACUGUGGGGCUUCACGGAAACAGUGCAAGAGAGAGCGGUAGCAGGUACAAGUCAUCUGAUCAAGGCCACACAAAGGACACCCUGGGAGUACCGUGCAAGGGAUAUCACAAAAGGCAGGCCUGGCUGAGGAGGCAGUCUGAGCGGAGGUAGGGAGUCAGAGAAGAACCUGGAGCAGUAAGCUGCCAUCACUGUGGCUACAAGAAAGGCAUAGGAAGAGGGCAAACCUUUACUGCUAAGCCCAGGAGCCUGGGCCAAAAAUAACACCAUCAAUGGAGUUUUGUUGGUUCUAAGCAGGGAGUGUGAGAUUUUGUCUUAUGUUCACAGACCAGGUAGGCUUUGUCCCCAAGGCAUAAGAUUCAAGGGCCUCCAGGAAAAUAAUUGUCCCAUUGUUCUAUGUCUGCCCAAUGGCAGCUCAUAAAAGAGCCAGGGUGUCCAGAAAGAUGACAGAGAGAUUUGCGGCUCUUGCAGAAGACCUAUGCUCCACUCCCAGUACCCACACGGUGGCUCACAGCUGUCUGUAACUCCAGUCCCAGGAGAGCCAAUGUCCUCUUUCGGCACAUGUGUGCUGCACAUACUUAGGUAAAAGUCACUUGUCCGCAUAAAAUAAAUAAUUCUCAAGUUUUUUCUUUCUUUCUUUCUUUUUUUUUGUUUUUGUUUGUUUGUUUUUUGUUUUUCAGAAAGAGUUUUCUCUGUGUAGCCCUGACUGUCCUGAAACUCACUCUGGAGACCAGGUUGUGCUUAGUGUCCUGAGUUCAAUCCCUAGUACAAAAUAGACCUGGGCAGUUGGGGAGGGGUUCCCGUGUGCAGAACACAAGGAAAUAUAAGACUAAACUCUCUAGAAUGUGUGAACUAAGGCCCACCCUCUGGAUAACAGUGUCCUAUGGUUGAGCACACUGGAGCUCCAAUAGGCCUCCAAGGCCUCUUCCCCUCUCACCUCGAGAGACCUGCUGUUAUUAAAAUCCCAGAAUCCUAGACUCUAAGGAAGCCCAAGUCAAACCUUGUGCCUCACAGAGGGGACCCAGGGCACAGAAAGGCUCCUAGCCUGACCCCGGUCACUAAGAGAAACACCUGAGACUGUGGUGGUGCUGAGCUAAAGGCACCUUCCUAAGAUGCUUGCAGCUUGCAGUGAGUUUCAUCCUCUGUGGGGUAUUGGUGCCAUGAUAGUUUCAAAUCGUGAGCAAUAGAGGAAGUCUGCUAAUGCUAACCCAAGUUAGCAUCACUUUUUAAAAGACGCUUGGAUGCAGUAAGAGCUCAGUUGGUUGAGUGCUCACUUGCAAGGGUGAGGACCUGAGUGCAAUCCCAGCUCCUACAUAAAAAGCAGGGAAUGGUGGUGUACUUUAUAAACUCAGUACUGAAGAGGUAGAGACUGGAGGGAUCAUCCUAGCCAAAUCAGUGAGUUCAAGCCACGUGAGGAAACCUGUCUCAAAAAUCAAUGUCCUAAGAAACGGUAGAGGUUGGUAAAAGAGGUUGACUGUUUGCCUCUACAUACAUGGAUGCAUACAUAUAUGAGUGCACACACACACACACAUACACACACACACACACACACACACACACACACAUACACAUAUACACGGACAGACAUGCACAAGCACACACACAUACACAUGACAGAGAAAACUGUUGGUUUAGGGGUCUGGGGUCUCUUACCAAGCUGGAUGUAUCCUUGUGAUCGCAUGGGACGAAGACAGCAACCUAAUAAACCAAGGCCUAUCAGAUCUAUGAAGCAGACAGGGUCACACACCCUAUGGAUAGAAGAGUGGGUUCAGGUUUCCCAGCAGGAAGAGGGGCUCUGAUACUCCAGGAAGGGAAAAUACAAAAGCCAAAGGAGAGAGGAGAAGCUGGCAACAGGCACCUUAGGGAAGGAGGGAAGGGAGUGGGGGAGAAGAGGGGACACAGAGGAACAAAGGAAUGUGGGGCCUCAGAGAACUGGUGGUCAGGAGGUGAGCAGAUCUCAGAGAAGGGAGUACACCCCAGCCUCCUUCCUUUCCAGAAGAGAGUGUCCUGGGCUUUCUGGAGGUCACCAGAUGCCUCUUGCUGGACAGUGCUUUUGACUCACUCUUGUUGGCAGGAAAUUGAUUUGGAACCAAAAUUAUUGGGGCCUCAGGGAACAGAAGAGAAAAACAAAGUUUUAAAUUAUUUUUAUUGUUGAGUUGAUGAUGUAAACAUAUGGUGUGUGUGUGUGUGUGUGUGUGUGUGUGUGUGUGUGUGUGUGUGAUCUGCACAUGAGUACGAGUUCCCCCAGUCAUCAGAAGAUGUCAGAUCCUCUAGAGCUGGCGUUACAGGCACUUGUGAGCCACCUGAUGUGGGUGCUGGGAACUGAAUCUUUGUCCUCUGCAAGAGUAAUAAACUGCCUUAACCACUAAGCCAUCUCUCCAGCCCUAUACAUGCAUCUCCUACCCAGAGACUGGGUUUCUCUGGGAAGCCCUGCUGUCCUGAAACUCCCUCUUUAGACCAGGCUGGCCUCCAUCUCAGAGAUCAACCUACCUCUGCCUCCUGAGUGCUGGAACUAAAGGCAAACACCAUGGCCUUAUAUACAUGCGUUCUGAAGUUAAAACACGUUGUGUUUUUGUUGUGUUUGAUGGGGCAGCUAUGUGUCCCAUAGCCCAAGUGUGGAGGUCGGAGGACAACCCUGUGGAAUCGGUUCUCUUCUACUGUGUGCGUUCCGAGGACUGAAUCCCCUCAUCUGCUGAGCCUGUUGGCCACCCUUACUAAAUGCAUUUCUAACUUUAAGCAUUUCCAACUUGAUUAUUUUACCAGGAUGUAACAUGGUAAUACAAGACAAAAAUGUAGUUUGUUAAAAAAACAAAAACAGGUCAAGUGAGAUAUCGCAGUGGUAAAGGUCACCAACGUUGACAACCUAACUUAGAUGCCUGGGACGCACCUGGUGGACGGUGCGAACUGAUUCACAAAUGAGAGCUCCUCUCACCUCCGCACAUGUGCAUAGCUCGCAUGCACGCCCUCACCGCAGGCCACGAUGCACACACACUAAAUACAUAUAAAAAACGUAUUUAUUUUAUUGAGAUAGUGUCUUGUGAUGGUUAUCCCCAAAUUCCUGGGCUCGAGUGACCCUCAAUCUCAUAAGUAGCAAGGACUACAGCUGAAGAUGUACCCCAGUGUUUAGAGUGCUUCCCUAACAAGCGCAAGGCCACGAGUUUGAUUCCCAGGUACUGAAAAACAGAAAAGAACAAACCCAGCAGCGAGGCACUGAAUGUGUGUCUCCCCGUCCGGCUGUGUAUCUGCAGACCAUGGGACACCAUUCAUAAAACAGAGUACAGAACAUACGUAGGGGCGGCGAAAAAUAACUGUGGGGUUAACACCUGGGACAUAAUUACCCGGGCGAAGACAUGAACAUCAGGUCUGGGAAUGGAGCUGUUAAAGAAAGCCAGGAGAGAGAAGCCCAGGUUGAAGCAAGCCCUAGGUGCCCUCCCCUCAUUUCCUUCUAGAAGGAACUGUACCCUAACUUUAUUUCCUUGAUUUUUCUUUCUGUCUUGCACUGAGGCUGAACCCAGGGCCUCACAUAAGGCAGGCAAGUGCUCUACCACUGAGUUGUAUCUUCCUGGCUUCCCUUUACAGUUUAAUAUGAAACAAAAUGUCACUGAAUUGCCCAGCAGGUCUGGAACUUCCUGCCCACCCCCAGACACACACUCAUCUCAUUUUCUCCAGAAGCUGGGAUUCCCAGCCUGUCCCUCAGUCCUGCUUCUUUGUGGUACUGGGGAUUGAAAUAAAGGUCUCGCGAGUACCGGCCAAGACUCAGCUACAGCCCUGUCUGCUCUUCCUUAUAAACGUGUCUAGAUGUACAUUCUAGUUCUUCGCUUUUAUUUAUUUAAUGUACUCGCUUACUUACAAUUGACCCAUGCCGGUCUGGUUAGCCUGGAACUCCCUCUCUAACCUAGACUGGCUUUCUAAUUUAUUUUCAUAACAGAAAAUGAUAGAGGAAACUUGCAGGAACUUGGGUAUCGCCCCUGUGGCCCGUGUGGAUGCAUGUUGCUGUGGUUCUUGUCGUUGCUGGAUAGUGUCUCGUGGUCACGGUUUCUAUAACCAGGUCCUUAUCGAUCUGGGUUAUUCUUUCUUUAUUCUUUUUUUUUUUUUUUCUGGCCUUGAACUUACAGGUCUUCUGUUUCUGCUUCCCGGAUGCCACGGUCAGAGGCUCGUACAGCUCUGUUCAGCCAUCUUUCUCUGCUCUAACUGGGACUGCUGUUGAUAAAAUACAUUAGUUUAUAUGCAUGCAGGGAUAUGUCUAGCAAAAAUGCCUAAUGCUUGAAUUACAAGGUCAAAGGGCAGUGCGUUUUUUAAUUCUGAGAGAUGAUAGACAGAUAGCCGUUGCCCUAUCUCCCUCAACUAAAUUGCACCUAUUUUUUUUUUUUUUUUUUUGGAGCUGGGGACUGAACCCAGGGCCUUGUGCUUGUUAGGCAAGCGUUCUACCACUGAGCUAAAUCCCCAACCCCUAAAUUGCACCUAUUUAUCCUUCUGUUCACAGCACACAUGAUGGCGCCGAUACCCCCCCCCCUCAACACUGGACAAGAGGCUGGCCUGAGAGUGAGUGACAGGGAGAUCGGGCAGCCUGGUGGUUGUGUAUCCCUUUGUCCCCUCUGGGCUGUUGCUGAUGGGGGUGGGCAGGGUGUUAAUGCAAUCGCAGAGUAGGCUGGCAACUGGAAACAGACAGGAGUCCUGAAAUUACAGACCCUCAACCUCCGUAGCCUGUCACUUCAGCCCAAAGGACUGAGAGGUAAGAGCACUCCUCUUCCUAAGCACAGAACCCCAGGAGCUGUGGCAAGAUGCGUGUGAAAACACAGACCUCCCCAUCAAGGGCUGGGAAAGUUGACCAUAAAGAGCCGAGCCCGUGUACUGAAAUGGCCGUCUUGCAACUUCCUCUCAUGGUUGAGACACUGAGAGAGGCUCCUGGGGCCCCAGCCUGUGUUACUUGGGCCUCUCAGCUCCACAAGUUUUGGUCACAGCACUGGGUUGGCUCUUGAGAGCAUUAAGAUAGUCAAAAAUAUUUACUUGGGUUCUCUAGCUGCCAGGUGACCAGAAGAGGCGGGAAUCUUCCUGCCCACACAGCAGGGACAAAGAGAUGACAAACUGUAGAUGUGUGGUGGCUUCCAGGGCCUGUUAGAAGCAAAGUGGCCACAGAGAAAAAGAUCAUGCAUCUGGGAAAGGGGGCUCCCAUGCUGGAAGUUUGAUGUAUUGCAGGAGUCAAGCAGGGCAGAGGGGUAGAUUUGAGCAAGCCCUGGACACAGGUGAGGGAAUGAGUGCACGGGGUUCCCGAGAGACAUGUUCCAAGCACUGGAGCCACCCAGUGUCAACACUAGACCAUCAGAUGUGGGAACAGCCAAAGAGCCCUAAGAGCAGACCCAGAGGGGAGGUCAAACAGGGCUGGGAGCUGGAGUUUGGGCUUGACUCUGAUUGUGGGUACAGUGGUGGGCAAGUACAGUCUUGCUCAACGAAAUCUGAAGUCACCUCCAUUAUCAUCCCCUGGUAGCAGGCAACUGAGGCUCUGAAGAGGUUUUACAUCUUUCGGAAUUACUCAGCCAAGCCAGAACAGAAAAGGCAGGAGAAAAAGCCUCCCACGAGUGCUUUCCGAGCACUGUGGGCAGUUGGCAUUUAUUAAGGCUCUACUCUAGCUCCUCCGGCCUCCCUGUGGUUCCAUGAGGCAGGACUUAGCAGUCCUAUUUUGCAGGUGAGAGAUUGAGGUCAGAGAGGUGAGGGUCAUGCAGUGGGCACACACGUGGCUGGGGAUAGGGGUGGGGGCAGAGGUGCCCGCAGCUCUGAGUGCCCUAAGGCCUGGACUUCUGCAGCUGUCCCACCUCUUGGCUUCUUGUGUCUCUCCCUACCUGCAAGUCUUCCUUAGCUCUUGCCUGUGCAGAACUGAAGCUCACACCUUGGAGGCCUGAGUUGGAGCCUCCUACCCUGGGAGCCUAGCUAGCCCUACCCCCAUGCCAACCAGAAGACACUACUCAACAUUCCCAGAACCUCUUUCUCAAUCUCCCACAGGCCUUGCUCACAGGCUCUCGCCCUCUUCCACACCCAACUGGACACUCCUCCACAUGCCUUUUUUUUUUUUUCAGUUUGCCCUGUCUUUCCCAAGCCUUGCCUCAGUUUCUCCUCCUGUUCUAUUCCAGUUCCUGGUCCCAUAUGCCCCAGUACCAGUGACCAAGAGAUAUGAAUCUCCAGAUCAAGCCACACUCCCCCGAAUCUUUUUGUACCCCGUCUCCUGCUGACCAGGCCUGCAGAUGCAAGUGCUCACCUCCUGGCCACAUCACUCAGUCUCUGGCACCUCAAACCCACCGCCACCCACAGCGACUUCCGUCUGCUCACCACGGGCAGCACCACACCCCCAGCUUGCUCACCGAGGACAAGAGCUGCUUCCCCACUCAGGCCCCCUCCUCUACGGAGCCCCCUGUACCAUCCCAUCUCUAAGCUCCACGGAAUCCCCCCACCCCACCCCUCGCCUCCCCAUGGAUUGGCUGUGUAGCCUUCUGAGUGCCUUCCCGUCUCCAGAGCUUGGUCUCAGCUCUACGGAGAGACGUCAACAAGAACCACUUCCUAGCCCUGUUUCCAGGAGUAAAAGGCUACUCAGCGUGG